rnacentral:rRNA from 1 species
GAUGAACGCUGGCGGCGUGCUUAACACAUGCAAGUCGAACGGUGAAGGCGGAGCUUGCUCUGCUGGAUCAGUGGCGAACGGGUGAGUAACACGUGAGCAAUCUGCCCCUGACUCUGGGAUAAGCGCUGGAAACGGCGUCCAAUACUGGAUACGAGCUGCGAAGGCAUCUUCAGCAGCUGGAAAGAAUUUCGGUCAGGGAUGAGCUCGCGGCCUAUCAGCUUGUUGGUGAGGUAAUGGCUCACCAAGGCGUCGACGGGUAGCCGGCCUGAGAGGGUGACCGGCCACACUGGGACUGAGACACGGCCCAGACUCCUACGGGAGGCAGCAGUGGGGAAUAUUGCACAAUGGGCGAAAGCCUGAUGCAGCAACGCCGCGUGAGGGAAGACGGCCUUCGGGUUGUAAACCUCUUUUAGCAGGGAAGAAGCGAAAGUGACGGUACCUGCAGAAAAAGCGCCGGCUAACUACGUG